AUACUUACUUGGUAGGGGAGAUACCAUGACCAUGAAGGUGGUUUUCCCAGGGCAAGGCUCAUCCACUUCUGAUGUGCUGACCCCUGCAAUUUCCCCAAAUGUGGAAAAUUCGACUGCAUAAUUUGUGGUAGUGGGAGACUGCAGUUGCACUUUACCC